rnacentral:tRNA from 1 species
GUUUUUAUAGUUUAAAUUCAAAACAUUGGUCUUGUAAACCAAAAAUAAUUUUUAAUUUAAAAACU